GAUGAAGAACGCAGCGAGAUGCGAUACGUAAUGUGAAUUGCAGAAUUCAGUGAAUCAUCGAGUCUUUGAACGCACAUUGCGCCCCCUGGUAUUCCGGGGGGCAUGCCUGUCCGAGCGUCAUUGCUGCCCUCAAGCACGGCUUGUGUGUUGGGCCUCCGUCCUCCUCCCGGGGGACGGGCCCGAAAGGCAGCGGCGGCACCGCGUCCGGUCCUCGAGCGUAUGGGGCUUCGUCACCCGCUCUUGUAGGCCCGGCCGGCGCUUGCCGACACAUCAAUCUUUUUUCCAGGUUGACCUCGGAUCAGGUAGGGAUACCCGCUGAACUUAAGCAUAUCAAUAAGCGGAGGA
rnacentral:misc_RNA from 1 species